CUAGAAUAAUGCCUUUAUUUUUUUUUCUGAAGGUAUCCCACAACCUAGAUGGAGAUCAUAAGCUACUUUCCUCUCUGUGAAUAAUUCCAGUCUACUUGGCUUAAUGUACCAAGGUUUAUGGUACAGUGUUUAAGACAAAGCCAAGCUUGGGUUUCUUUGAAGGACAGCAAGGAGUAACUUACUGUCUUUAUUCCCAUUUAGGAUGGUUUAAAAACACAAAAGCGGAUGUUCUCUUCCAAACAUCAAACGACGGCUCCAAAAAUACAGGCUGAAAAAAAAGUCCCAUCAUCCAAUUUUUUGGCCACAACAAACAACAGUUUACGAGAAACACAAUAGACUCAAGAGACACGGCAGCAUUCCUUAGCAUCUAAUGUCAGUUGACAAUCAGCAGGAGAACCACAAUAAACAAGCAGCAGGCGGAGCAGAAAAGUUACACACCCACACCAUAUGGUGGGCUGCCACUGUUGUCGGCCAAUGAAUCACCUUCGGUCCCCCGACCUCAUAGAGGACCAGGCACAGCCACGUGACUCUGAGAUGGCAUUGGUCUGAUGGAACCCCACCAUCCCUCCAGCAUCCCAGAGCGUGAGAUAGUGUGCACAUUCAUUGCAUACGGUCUGCUCGGUCCACUGGCAUCUCAGCCAUGAGCUCUUCCCUCCAGAUCACCUAAACCACGUUGCCCAAACUUUAUUCUCAUCCCAGGAGAUGGUCCUUAACGAACUAGUUCCAAGGUCAAGGAAGACUCAAAAUGCUACCUACAUCAUCAUCAUCAGGGACUCAGGUGGCUUCUAAUUCCCUGUACUGUGAAACCUAGAGCAUCACUUGCAUUCGGGGCAGCGGGGAGAGGAAGACAGAAGAGAAACCCCCUCCCUCUUAGAAACUUCCUAGAAGUAAGAUCAUUCAUUUAGAUCACUGUUCAUUUAGAAUGAACAAAUAGAUCAUUCUUUUAAAGUUUGUUGACCUAAACUAGGGCCCACGGCUUCUCAGGGUUAUAGGAAGGCUGAAAGAAGUGGACUUUUACCUGGGACGUAACUGCACUAUUAAAAGUUAGGCCACUAAGACAGAGGAUGAGAAGAGAUGUUGGGAUUGGGGUGGGGAGCAUCUGGAACCCUGCUGUGCCACCACGAUCCACUUCUCAUGAAACACUGGACACAAUAGUGACUGCCAUUGAACAGUUUUUGAUUGCUUAUUAUGUAUCAGGCGCUACAGUGAGCACUCUGCAUCUCUUACCUGAACUGUGCAAAAAGCAACUUCCAUCCAGACUGUCUGAAUUAUCCAAAAAUUCUGAACUGAUGGCAUCCAAAUGAAUAAGACUUUACAGAGCUGCACUGGGAGAGUUGAUUGGAUUUGUCAGUUUUCCUGUGGAUACGAAGUCCUGGGUGGCUUGACUGUAUGCAGCAAAGUGAUUCCGGUAUAACGACAUAUCUUUUUCAAACCCUCAUUUCUUCGGAGUUGGGAAAUCCACUGCCUCUUUCCCUCCAUAUAUCUGUUGGGGACAUAACCAGAAGGUGGCUGUGGACAAACCAGAAAGGAAAUUCUCUUCAGAACCCUACCAAGUUGCCACCGUGAUCCCAGCCCUCUGGCCUCCAAGACAACGAUUGUUUUGUUCCCUGUGGUUUGGCUUGCAUUCCCCCAGUAAACUACCAGGAACAAGAAGUAGAAGGCGGUGUUUUGGGAGCAUAGCCCCGGACAACCUGGGCUUUGGAAGAUCCUGGAGGAAUUACCUUUUGACCUUACAAUGCCUCCAGCCUUCUCCUGGCCAUUUUGUAAUCAGACAUUUGAAACAGUUCCUUGGAGCUUUAAAGCAUGACUCAUCAUCACUGCCUGGUUUGCACAUUUCAGUCAAUGACCCAAAAGUGUGGUCUCACUCUGAGAAGGAUUAAACCUUCCACUGUUUGGGGGGUGGGGGAAGGAUGUGAAGGAAGAAACACUUGCAUUUCAGGCCACUCCAACCUCUCCAUCUUGGGCUCUGUCCUUGGCACGCUAUUGGGGAAUUUGCUAGAGAAGGGAAACAUUUGAGUCCAUUAUUUUAAAAGCAGCAGAAAAUAGACUCUAGGAAAAGAAAAAAAAAAUGUGCCUUGGCCACAGGAACUUAAUGGGCCAUUUUGAUCUCUGCCUCCUGCCUGGUUGAGGGUGUCAGGAGCCAUGCUCUCAGCUUGCAAAAAAAUGUCAUAAUGAAGUGUUCGAGUAAUGGAGAGUUAAUGGAACUGGGAACCAGGGUUAUAACAAAAGGGCCUUAAAAGAGGGGUGGGGUAUAAUUUAUUAACAGCAAUAUAUGGAGCAGGGAGCCUGCAACAUUUAUGAGGAAAGAAAAGGGGACGUUUCACAAGAUCCAAGAUUUCCACUCUCCGUAGGCUCCGGCGACACCCAUUGGCCAGAUGCAGGCUCCGCCCCUUUCUCUGCGAACCCUUCUGCGCUUCUUCCCAAGGAAGAGUGUGGCAUCUCUGCUAACUGAGUUCUGUGGAUCAAGGGUGACUGCUCUGAUUCUCCCAGGGAUGGAGAAGUUUCUGUUUAUGAUAAGGAUGUUGAAGUAAAUAUCCUCAGAGCAUGAUUCGAGUGCCUAGGGUAUUCUUUUCAAAAUCUGGUCUAUUAGCCAGGGCUUUGCUGGGUAUGAGAUAAAGACACAGAGUUCACCCUGGCCUAAGACUGAAAAAAAAUGGAGUAUGGGUCUUAUUUUGGAUUCGGUCCAAAGUAUAUCGGUCUUAUUUUAAAGCAGAUCUUGAGAUAAUUACAAAUAGUUUAUUUAGGAAAUGAUUCCGGGGAACUGUGGUUAGAUAGUGGGAAAAUGAGGGACGAGAAGAAAGAUGAUAAGGGUUUUUUUUUUUUACACCUUUUUAUUUUAUAUUGCAAUAUAGCCAAUGAACAAUGUUGUAACAACUUCAGGUGGACAGCAAAGGGACUCAGCCAUAUAAAUCCAUGCAUCCACUGAUUAAAGGUGUUUAUUAUCAAGCUAGUUGUAAUGUGGGCAGGUGGAGCUUAACUCAUUUGAGCCACACUCUGGAUGAUAUUAUACAACAUACUUUCAAACUGAGGGGCAAGGGGGCUGGGGAAAUUAUUUAUUCAAUCCUUGAAGUCCUUAGUUGAGAGCUGCUGUUGGAGUUUUAACUCCCUGGCAUUCUAGGCUUUUUCUGCGUGAUGCCAAGGGUGCUCCUGUGGCCAGGGGCUGGGGGAGGGACCUUUGGGCAGAGGGUUGCAGGCUGUUUUCUGUAAAGAAUUGCCAACAUGUAAAGGUGACUGCCAAGGAGAUAUAGGUGCACUAGCCACAGCAUCAGUCAAGAAGGGGUAAAUACUAACUGACUUUGUUGAUUGAAAAAUUCAAGCUUGCACUAGCUUCAGGCAUAGUUAGAUCCAGGGGCCAAAGAAGCAUCAUUUGGACUUGGUAACAUUUCAUUACUGGUUUUUGUUUUCUCAACAUCAGCUCCAUUCUUAGGUGAGAUUUCCCAUGUCAUGGUAUGAUGCCUGCCAGUAGCUAUAUGCUUUUUUAAUAUAUAUAAUUUAGCCACCUUAGUGGAAAAACAAAACAUGUUUUCCCCCUCAGACAAUUUCAGAAACAGCUCUAGAAUGUGUGCAUAUUGGCUCAGCUUGGUUAGUUAGUUAUAAAGUAUUUUAACAAUUAAUUUAAUCUACCUGGAACCCCACCCCUCCACCCAAGCAGAGUCUCCACCUGCACAAAGAUGCUGCAAUACUGUCUUCAGCUAGAAUCAUUUGGUUGUAAGUGACCCCCAUUCCACCACAUCAAGGAAUCCUUUUUAUUCUCAUGGCAUGUUUGUGCAAGCAUGAUUUCAAGUGUUAGCCCUCGUCUAUGUUCCUCUGGAAUAACUCUUUCUCUUCUUUGCUGAGUGUCUCCUUCUGAGUAGAUGGCCUUCCAGAUUGACUUUGUGGGGACUUUCCUGGUGGUCCAAUGGCUAAGACGCCUCACUGCCAAUGCAGGGGGCACCGAGUUCAAUCCCUGGUCAGGAAACUAGAUCCCACAUGCUGCAACCGAGUUCACAUGCUCCAACUAAGACCUGGUGCAGUCAAAUUAAAACAAACAAACAAACAAAUUGACCUUGUGAAGCUAUUACAUCAAGAUGGUGGGAUAAUGAGUGACAGAAGAUCUAAUUAAAACUGUGUGUGCAUAUACCUAUACCUAUGUUACUGACUCUCUACAGAGUGCAGAAGAGCAUUUUGGGAUUGUGCUCAUUUAAUCAGUUAUUAUUAUUGUCCGUUUCUGGGAAGGAAAAAACUGCACAUUUCUUCCCAUCUUUUCCUGUUUUCAGCACCUCCUUACCCACUCCAGUAUUUUUGCCUGAAAAAUCCCACGGACAGAGGAGCCUGGUGGGUUA